rnacentral:rRNA from 1 species
GGCUUGACAUAUACGAGAACGGGCCAGAAAUGGUCAACUCUUUGGACACUCGUAAAACAGGUGGUGCAUGGUUGUCGUCAGCUCGUGUCGUGAGAUGUUGGGUUAAGUCCCGCAACGAGCGCAACCCUCGUUCUAUGUUGCCAGCACGUAAUGGUGGGAACUCAUGGGAUACUGCCGGGGUCAACUCGGAGGAAGGUGGGGAUGACGUCAAAUCAUCAUGCCCCUUAUGUCUUGGGCUUCACGCAUGCUACAAUGGCCGGUACAAAGGGCUGCAAUACCGCGAGGUGGAGCGAAUCCCAAAAAGCCGGUCCCAGUUCGGAUUGAGGUCUGCAACUCGACCUCAUGAAGUCGGAGUCGCUAGUAAUCGCAGAUCAGCAACGCUGCGGUGAAUACGUUCCCGGGUCUUGUACACACCGCCCGUCAAGUCAUGAAAGUCGGUAACACCUGAAGCCGGUGGCCUAACCCUUGUGGAGGGAGCCGUCGAAGGUGGGAUCGGUAAUUAGGACUAAGUCGUAACAAGGUAGCCGUACCGGAAGGUGCGGCUGGAUCACCUCCUUAAGCUUGGAUCCCGGG